AAAAUUAACAUUGUUUAUUGAGUUUUGAUACUCAGUCUUCCUGAUUCACUUAACCCAUAAUGGUCUGUUUCUCACCAGUUAUUAAACUGUGUCUGCCUUGGGCUGGCUUGCAGCUGAGCGAUGCAGAGUUGAGCCCACCUUGGUUGAUGAGUGAUUAGGUCUCAGGCAGGCAGGGCUGCUCUCAUUAGAGCAGAGGGUACUCACCGUGUCCCGGCACUCCUGGGGGUGGAUGGUGGACCCCCAAUUCUGCCCCUCCUGGCCUCCCCUCCCUGCCCAGAGCCCCUUCACAUCCCAUGCACGGUCCCUCUGCCUGUCACAUCUCUGCACCGGGAUUAAGAGCCUGGCUCUUGGAGCCUGCCUGGGUCCGCUAGCCAUCACCCCUGGGGGUGUAAGUGCUUGGGAAGGUGGCUGCCUAGGGCCCACCAUGGAGAGGAACCCCCAGACUGCUUCUGGAAGCCAGGGCUGCAGCCUGGGGGGGGUACAGGCCUAGCAGGGAGCCACAGUGACCCCUCCCAGCCAAUGGCCCUGAGAGAACAGGCAGUGGAGCCCCCCACCACCACCCACAGUGAAGUGACGGGUGGUCCCUACAGUGGGGCCAGACCCUGAGACAUCACCCCUGAGUGAGUGCAUCUGUCAGACCCUGAGGCAUCGCUCCUGAGUGAGCGUAUCUGUCGGCCUCUGGUCUGUGCCCUGGGACCUCUCCCUAAAAGCCCAGGCAGCAGGGGCCAUGGCUGGUGGCUAGUCCCCCGGGGAGGGGCUGCCCAGGUCCCUGCACCUUGAAAGUCCGACGCAGACAUCUUAGGGGGAAGGAGCGUGUCCUCCCAGGCACUCGGGGUCCUGGGGUGCAGCCCGGCCCUCCCCCACACCCUCCCUGUGCUGCAGGCCCCGCACAGUCGGGCAUCCUGGUGGACCGCGAGGUGGUCAGCCUCUUCCUGCACUUCACCGUCAACCCCAAGCCACGAGUGGAGUUCAUUGACCGGCCCCGCUGCUGCCUGCGUGGGAAGGAGUGCAGCAUCAACCGCUUCCAGCAGGUGGAGAGUCGCUGGGGCUACAGCGGGACCAGUGACCGCAUCAGGUGGGGCUUGGGGUGCAGGUGGGGGGGUCCGGACAUGGGGGUGGAGGACUCGGGGAUGACGGAGACGGGGGGCCGGGCAUGGGGGUGGAGGACUCAGGGAUGAUGGAGACGGCGGGGGGGCCGCCGGGCAUGGGGGUGGAGGACUCGGGGACGAUGGAGGGGACUGGGCAUGGGGGUGGGCUCGCCCCAGCUCACCUUAGGCUAUCCCUGGGUAUCCACACUGCCGCCUGUCAUCUGCCACGGCAGGUUCUCAGUCAACAAGCGCAUCUUCGUGGUGGGAUUUGGGCUGUAUGGAUCCAUCCACGGGCCCACCGACUACCAAGUGAACAUCCAGAUUAUUCACACCGACAGCAACACCGUCUUGGGCCAGAACGACACGGGCUUCAGCUGUGACGGCUCAGCCAGCACCUUCCGCGUCAUGUUCAAGGAGCCGGUGGAGGUGCUGCCCAACGUCAACUACACGGCCUGCGCCACGCUCAAGGGCCCAGACUCCCACUACGGCACCAAAGGCCUCCGCAAGGUGACACACGAGUCGCCCACCACGGGCGCCAAGACCUGCUUCACCUUUUGCUACGCGGCCGGGAACAACAACGGCACAUCCGUGGAGGACGGCCAGAUCCCCGAGGUCAUCUUCUACACCUAGGCUGCCCGACACCGACACUGCCCUCCCUCCGUGGGGACAGCCGCAGCCCCAGGCCAUCAUCCGCUGCUGGGGCCCCCCCACCACGCGGUGCCAGGCCCAGUGUCCCCCGGGCCACCUGUCCACUCCACGCCAUCUUUCUCAGCAUCAGGAAGGGGUUGCCCUGUGUUCACCACGAGUGCGGCUGCUGGAUCAGGGCAGCCGGGGAGGUGGCCGGGCCAGUGGCCAGGCCCUGUGGAGACGAUCCCUCAGGACUAGGGACAGGGCUGUGCCGGCCUGGGCCAGGGCCCACGGACCCGCAGCUCAGGGCGCCUGCCCACGUCGUCUGCCGGCGGUGCGUGGCGGGCGUCCCUCGCGUCUCUUCACUGCACAUUGCAAUGCAUUUGCGAUUCCCAUUUCUCUGCUAGGAGCCAGCCUGGGUGGCGCCGCUCCCAGAGCCGUGGGUCCCAGACCUUGCGUUCCUUUUGUUCCUGUCCGUUUAUCAGGACACGGGCCCCACCUGUCACGUGCCCGAGGCCACCCAAGCCCAGCUGCCUGGAUGCCAGCUUGAGUUCUGCGCACGUCGGAUUCAGUGUGGGGACGGCCCCUGCCGGAUAGGCCUAGCCCUGGCCCAGGUGGUGAGCGGUUUGCAGUGUCCGUUCUCAUCCACCUGAUGGGCCCAGAUAAAGGCCCCCGCUGUCCAGCCUCCCUGGACGGCCCUCGCGGUCCCUGCAGCCCAAGAUGGGACUCAGACCCUGUGCCCCAGAGCUCCCCUGCCGCAGAAUGGGGCCCCAGCCGGCCCCGACCGGGUCCAGGAGCACUGCUCGCCUGUACAUACUGUUGCCCUAGCCCACCUGGUGCCGCGCGAGCCACCCCCAGGUGCUGGGGGCACAGCCCCUCCCCACCCCGGCCACGCCCCCACCCACCCCGUGUGUUUCUGCCCUGUGACUCCUGGAACCUGCGUCCUCCCCAAAGCCAUGGGAGGGGUGUCCUCCUCAGACCAUGCCCCCAGAUAAUUUUUUUAAAUAAAGAAACAAAGGCACCUGCCUUGAGCGCA
rnacentral:sRNA from 1 species